rnacentral:rRNA from 1 species
UACGUAGGGCGCAAGCGUUGUCCGGAAUUAUUGGGCGUAAAGAGCUCGUAGGCGGUUUGUCGCGUCUGUCGUGAAAGCUUGGGGCUUAACCCCAAGUCUGCGGUGGAUACGGGCAGACUAGAGGCAGGUAGGGGAGAACGGAAUUCCCGGUGUAGCGGUGAAAUGCGCAGAUAUCGGGAGGAACACCGGUGGCGAAGGCGGUUCUCUGGGCCUGUACUGACGCUGAGGUGCGAAAGCGUGGGGAUCAAACAGG